GACGAACGCUGGCGGCGCGCUUAACACAUGCAAGUCGAGCGAUAACCAUGGCUUCGGCCAUGGGGAGAGCGGCGAACGGGUGAGUAACACGUGAGCGAUCUGCCCUCGACACCGGGAUAGCCCGGGGAAACCCGGAUUAAUACCGGAUGGCCUCUCGAGCCCACGGGCUCGUUAGAAAAGGUGGCUUCGGCUUUCGGUCGAGGAGGAGCUUGCGGCGGAUUAGCUUGUUGGUGGGUAACGGCUCACCAAGGCGACGAUCCGUAGCUGGUCUGAGAGGACGAUCAGCCACACUGGGACUGAGACACGGCCCAGACUCCUACGGGAGGCAGCAGUGGGGAAUCUUGCGCAAUGGGCGAAAGCCUGACGCAGCGACGCCGCGUGAGGGAAGAAGGCCUUCGGGUUGUAAACCUCUUUCAGGAGGGACGAAGCCACUCGGGUUAAUACCCCAGAGGGUGACGGUACCUCCAGAAGAAGCCCCGGCUAACUACGUGCCAGCCGCCGCGGUAAAAC
rnacentral:rRNA from 1 species